UACAGAGGGGGCAAGCGUUGUUCGGAAUCACUGGGCGUAAAGGGCGCGUAGGCGGCUUUAUAAGUCGGGGGUGAAAGCCCGGGGCUCAACCUCGGAACUGCCUUCGAUACUGGCUAUCUUGAGUACGGGAGAGGUGUGUGGAACUCCGAGUGUAGAGGUGAAAUUCGUAGAUAUUCGGAAGAACACCAGUGGCGAAGGCGACACACUGGCCCGUUACUGACGCUGAGGCGCGAAAGCGUGGGGAGCAAACAGG
rnacentral:rRNA from 1 species